rnacentral:ncRNA from 4 species
UAGUGAACCUGCGGAAGGAUCAUUA